rnacentral:misc_RNA from 1 species
UUUCCGUAGGUGAACCUGCGGAAGGAUCAUUCAUAAUAAAGUGUUUUAUGGCACUUUUUAAAAAUCCAUAUCCACCUUGUGUGCAAUGUUAGAUCUCGUCAAUCUUGGCGAGAUUUUUAUACAUCAACUUAUUCUUUAACUAAUUUGUCUGAAAAAUAUUAUGAAUACUUAAUUCAAAAUACAACUUUCAACAACGGAUCUCUUGGCUCUCGCAUCGAUGAAGGACGCAGC